AACGGCCAUACCAUGUUGAAUAUACCGGUUCUCGUUAGAUCACCGAAGUCAAGCAUCAUUGAGCGCGGUCAGUACUUGGGCGGGUGACCACCUGGGAACACUGCGUGCCGUU
rnacentral:rRNA from 1 species